rnacentral:rRNA from 1 species
GACAGAGGGUGCAAACGUUGUUCGGAAUUACUGGGCGUAAAGCGCGUGUAGGCGGCCCUGUAAGUCGGGUGUGAAAUCCCACGGCUCAACCGUGGAAGUGCAUUCGAAACUACAGGGCUAGAGUUCUGGAGAGGAAGGUGGAAUGCUUGGUGUAGAGGUGAAAUGCGUAGAUAUCAAGCGGAACACCGGUGGCGAAGGCGGCCUUCUGGACAGUAACUGACGCUGAGACGCGAAAGCGUGGGGAGCAAACAGG